rnacentral:rRNA from 1 species
UACGUAGGGGGCUAGCGUUGUCCGGAAUCAUUGGGCGUAAAGAGCGUGUAGGCGGUCCGGUAAGUCCGCUGUGAAAGUCGGGGGCUCAACCCUCGGAUGCCGGUGGAUACUGUCGGGCUUGAGUACGGAAGAGGCGAGUGGAAUUCCUGGUGUAGCGGUGAAAUGCGCAGAUAUCAGGAGGAACACCAAUUGCGAAGGCAGCUCGCUGGGACGUUACUGACGCUGAGACGCGAAAGCGUGGGGAGCAGACAGG